CAUGUCUAUUGUACUUCAUCAGGUGCUCUGGUGUAUUUUUAAAACCCGGCACAUGUUGAAGUACAUUCACUGUG
rnacentral:pre_miRNA from 1 species